GUAGGUGGCAAGCGUUGUCCGGAAUUAUUGGGCGUAAAGCGCGCGCAGGUGGUUCUUUAAGUCUGAUGUGAAAGCCCCCGGCUCAACCGGGGAGGGUCAUUGGAAACUGGGGAACUUGAGUGCAGGAGAGGAAAGUGGAAUUCCACGUGUAGCGGUGAAAUGCGUAGAUAUGUGGAGGAACACCAGUGGCGAAGGCGACUUUCUGGCCUGUAACUGACACUGAGGCGCGAAAGCGUGGGGAGCAAACAGGAUUAGAUACCCUGGUAGUCCACGCCGUAAACGAUGAGUGCUAAGUGUUGGGGGGGUUUCUCGCCCCCUCAGUGCUGCAGCUAACGCAUUAAGCACUCCGCCUGGGGAGUACGGUCGCAAGACUG
rnacentral:rRNA from 1 species